rnacentral:rRNA from 1 species
UACGGAGGGGGCAAGCGUUGCUCGGAAUUACUGGGCGUAAAGGGCGCGUAGGCGGGAUGGUAAGUCGGUCGUGAAAUCCCUCGGCUCAACCGAGGAACGUCGAUCGAUACUACCGUUCUUGAGGGUUGCAGAGGAGACUGGAAUUCCCGGUGUAGCGGUGAAAUGUGUAGAGAUCGGGAGGAACACCGGUGGCGAAGGCGGGUCUCUGGGCAAUUCCUGACGCUGAGGCGCGAAAGCGUGGGGAGCAAGCGGG